rnacentral:rRNA from 1 species
AGUGAACGCUGGCGGUAGACCUAACACAUGCAAGUCGAACGGCAGCACAGUAAGAGCUUGCUCUUACGGGUGGCGAGUGGCGGACGGGUGAGGAAUACAUCGGAAUCUACUUUUUCGUGGGGGAUAACGUAGGGAAACUUACGCUAAUACCGCAUACGACCUACGGGUGAAAGCAGGGGAUCUUCGGACCUUGCGCGAUUGAAUGAGCCGAUGUCGGAUUAGCUAGUUGGCGGGGUAAAGGCCCACCAAGGCGACGAUCCGUAGCUGGUCUGAGAGGAUGAUCAGCCAUACUGGAACUGAGACACGGUCCAGACUCCUACGGGAGGCAGCAGUGGGGAAUAUUGGACAAUGGGCGCAAGCCUGAUCCAGCCAUACCGCGUGGGUGAAGAAGGCCUUCGGGUUGUAAAGCCCUUUUGUUGGGAAAGAAAAGCAGCAGGUUAAUACCCCGCUGUUCUGACGGUACCCAAAGAAUAAGCACCGGCUAACUUCGUG